GAGUUUGAUCUUGGCUCAGAUUGAACGCUGGCGGCAUGCCUUACACAUGCAAGUCGAACGGCAGCACGGGAGCUUGCUCCUGGUGGCGAGUGGCGAACGGGUGAGUAAUGCAUCGGAACGUAUCCUGGAGUGGGGGAUAACGUAGCGAAAGUUACGCUAAUACCGCAUAUUCUGUGAGCAGGAAAGCGGGGGACCUUCGGGCCUCGCGCUCUUGGAGCGGCCGAUGUCGGAUUAGCUAGUUGGUGAGGUAAAGGCUCACCAAGGCGACGAUCCGUAGCAGGUCUGAGAGGAUGAUCUGCCACACUGGAACUGAGACACGGUCCAGACUCCUACGGGAGGCAGCAGUGGGAAUUUUGGACAAUGGGGGCGAACCCUGAUCCAGCCAUGCCGCGUGAGUGAA
rnacentral:rRNA from 1 species